rnacentral:rRNA from 1 species
GACGAACGCUGGCGGCGUGCUUAACACAUGCAAGUCGAACGGAAAGGCCCUGCUUUUCGGGUGCUCGCGAGUGGCGAACGGGUGAGUAACACGUGUGAACUGUUCCUCUCUUUGGGGUAAGCCUGGCGAAAUCGGGCUAAAACCCGCGAUCGGACCUCCUUCGAAAGGGGGGGGGAUAGUUUAUGCGGGCUAGGGUGGGUGCGCGGGUUAUCAGCUUGUUUGUGGGGUAUUGGGCUACCAAGGCGGCGACGGGUAGCCGGCCUGAGAGGGUGGGCGGCCACAUUGGGACUGAGAUACGGCCCAGACUCCUACGGGAGGCAGCAGUGGGGAAUAUUGCACAAUGGGCGCAAGCCUGAUGCAGCGACGCCGCGUGGGGGAUGACGGCCUUCGGGUUGUAAACUCCUUUCGCCUGGGACGAAGCGUGUGGGACGGUAACGGAUAAAGAAGCAACGGCUAACUACGUG